rnacentral:rRNA from 1 species
AAUAGAUACCCGGGUAGUCCACGCCGUAAACGAUGAGUGCUAAGUGUUAGGGGGUUUCCGCCCCUUAGUGCUGCAGCUAACGCAUUAAGCACUCCGCCUGGGGAGUACGGUCGCAAGACUGAAACUCAAAGGAAUUGACGGGGGCCCGCACAAGCGGUGGAGCAUGUGGUUUAAUUCGAAGCAACGCGAAGAACCUUACCAGGUCUUGACAUCCCGCUGACCGCUAUGGAGACAUAGCUUUCCCUUCGGGGACAGCGGUGACAGGUGGUGCAUGGUUGUCGUCAGCUCGUGUCGUGAGAUGUUGGGUUAAGUCCCGCAACGAGCGCAACCCUUGUCCUUAGUUGCCAUCAUUCAGUUGGGCACUCUAAGGAGACUGCCGUACAAAUACGGAGGAAGGUGGGGAUGACGUCAAAUCAUCAUGCCCCUUAUGACCUGGGCUACACACGUGCUACAAUGGACGGUACAAACGGUUGCGAAGUCGCGAGACGGAGCCAAUCCGAGAAAGCCGUUCUCAGCUCGGAUUGCAGG